rnacentral:rRNA from 1 species
UACGGGGGGGGUAAGCGUUGUUCGGAAUUACUGGGCGUAAAGGGCGCGUAGGCGGCCCGCUAAGUCGAACGUGAAAUCCCCGAGCUCAACUCGGGAACUGCGUCCGAUACUGGCGGGCUUGAAUCCGGGAGAGGGAUGCGGAAUUCCAGGUGUAGCGGUGAAAUGCGUAGAUAUCUGGAGGAACACCGGUGGCGAAGGCGGCAUCCUGGACCGGCAUUGACGCUGAGGCGCGAAAGCCAGGGGAGCAAACGGG